rnacentral:rRNA from 1 species
UACAGAGGUCUCAAGCGUUGUUCGGAUUCAUUGGGCGUAAAGGGUGUGUAGGUGGCGCCGUAAGUCGGGUGUGAAAUUUCGGAGCUUAACUCCGAAACUGCAUUCGAUACUGCGGUGCUUGAGGACUGGAGAGGAGACUGGAAUUCAUGGUGUAGCAGUGAAAUGCGUAGAGAUCAUGAGGAAGACCAGUGGCGAAGGCGGCAUCCUGGACCAUGACUGACGCUGAGGAGCGAAAGCCAGGGGAGCAAACGGG